rfam:Triticum aestivum genome assembly, contig: Triticum_aestivum_CS42_TGACv1_scaffold_569445_7AS
GACAUACUCCCUCCAUCCAAAAAUACUUGUCAUCAAAAUGGAUAAAAAGAGAUGUAUCUAGAACUAAAAUACGUCUACAUACAUCCUCUUGUAUCCAUUUUGAUGACAAGUAUUUUCGGACGAAGGGAGUAUGAG